GUACACUCCUGCGGGAGGCAGCAGUGGGGAAUUUUGGACAAUGGGCGAAAGCCUGAUACAGCAAUGCCGCGUGAGUGAAGAAGGCCUUCGGGUUGUAAAGCUCUUUUGUCAGGGAAGAAACGGUGAGAGCUAAUAUCUCUUGCUAAUGACGGUACCUGAAGAAUAAGCACCGGCUCACUACGUGCCAGCAGCCGCGGUAAUACGUAGGGUGCAAGCGUUAAUCGGAAUUACUGGGCGUAAAGCGUGCGCAGGCGGUUUUGUAAGUCUGAUGUGAAAUCCCCGGGCUCAACCUGGGAAUUGCAUUGGAGACUGCAAGGCUAGAAUCUGGCAGAGGGGGGUAGAAUUCCACGUGUAGCAGUGAAAUGCGUAGAUAUGUGGAGGAACACCGAUGGCGAAGGCAGCCCCCUGGGUCAAGAUUGACGCUCAUGCACGAAAGCGUGGGGAGCAAACAGGAUUAGAUACCCUGGUAGUCCC
rnacentral:rRNA from 1 species